UUACAUGUUGCUUUUUAUUUAUCUUAAUUGUUUACAGGUGUGUGUAUGUGUUGUUGUUAUCAUUGCGUACAUAUUACUUUAGUCACUUGUAAAUAAUACAUAAAUGUAUUUGAAGAAAAGUAUUUUUGGUAAGGUGUUAUGUCUGGACGACGUUUUACAAGGCACGUUUGCCGCUUUAUAAUAUUAGCCUAACACGCGUUUGCUUGUAUUUUAUCAUCAUCUUCUUCCGUGCUUAUCGCUCCUCUGACGUUUAUAAAUUUGACAACAAUUCGGUGGCUGCUCUAUGACGCGUGACUUUUGGUGGGUGGCUAUCUUGGGCGCAGUUGGACAUGCUCAUCACGCAUUGAUUUUGGCUUAUCAGCGUAUUAAUUUACAUAUGUUCAUAUGUAUGUAAGUGUAAAUCACGCGUACGAAGCACUCACUGUGAAUACAAGUGUUUAUAAAUACAUAUAUAGGCAAAUAUUAUUUGUUAUCGUAAUUAAAAAUGAUGUAAAUAUUACAAGGCACGUACGCCACAGUCAAUUUGGCAGGGAUGUUACUCUUGUAAAGUAAACAAUCAAUUAUGUAUAUGAUUGAGUCCUAAAUAGAAGUGUCAAAUACAAAAUGUUCGUUUUUA